rnacentral:rRNA from 1 species
UAGUAAUCGUAGGUCAGCAUACUACGGUGAAUACGUUCCCGGGCCUUGUACACACCGCCCGUCAAACCAUGAGAGUUGGCAACACCCGAAGUCGGUAGUCUAACCGCAAGGAGGACGCCGCCGAAGGUGGGGUUGAUGAUUAGGGUUAAGUCGUAACAAGGUAUC